rnacentral:rRNA from 1 species
AGCGUACACGGUGGAUGCCCUGGCAGUCAGAGGCGAUGAAGGACGUGCUAAUCUGCGAAAAGCGCCGGUAAGGUGAUAUGAACCGUUAUAACCGGCGAUGUCCGAAUGGGGAAACCCGGUGCACUUCGGUGCAUCAUCGUUAGCUGAAUACAUAGGCUAACGAGGCGAACCGGGGGAACUGAAACAUCUAAGUACCCCGAGGAAAAGAAAUCAACCGAGAUUCCCCCAGUAGCGGCGAGCGAACGGGGAACAGCCCAGAGCCUGAAUCAGCUUGUGUGUCAGUGGAACGGUCUGGAAAGGCCGGCGAUACAGGGUGACAGCCCCGUACACGAAGGCACACAGGCUGUGAGCUCGAUGAGUAGGGCGGGACACGUGAUAUCCUGUCUGAAGAUGGGGGGACCAUCCUCCAAGGCUAAAUACUCCUGACUGACCGAUAGUGAACCAGUACCGUGAGGGAAAGGCGAAAAGAACCCCGGCGAGGGGAGUGAAACAGAACCUGAAACCGUGUACGUACAAGCAGUGGGAGCCUUCGUAAGAGGGUGACUGCGUACCUUUUGUAUAAUGGGUCAGCGACUUAUAUUCUGUAGCAAGGUUAACCGUAUAGGGGAGCCGAAGGGAAACCGAGUCUUAAUUGGGCGUUAAGUUGCAGGGUAUAGACCCGAAACCCGGUGAUCUAGCCAUGGGCAGGUUGAAGGUUGGGUAACACUAACUGGAGGACCGAACCGACUAAUGUUGAAAAAUUAGCGGAUGACCUGUGGCUGGGGGUGAAAGGCCAAUCAAACCGGGAGAUAGCUGGUUCUCCCCGAAAGCUAUUUAGGUAGCGCCUCGUGAACUCAUCUCCGGGGGUAGAGCACUGUUUCGGCUAGGGGGCCAUCCCGGCUUACCAACCCGAUGCAAACUGCGAAUACCGGAGAAUGUUAUCACGGGAGACACACGGCGGGUGCUAACGUCCGUCGUGAAGAGGGAAACAACCCAGACCGCCAGCUAAGGUCCCAAAGUCAUGGUUAAGUGGGAAACGAUGUGGGAAGGCCCAGACAGCCAGGAUGUUGGCUUAGAAGCAGCCAUCAUUUAAAGAAAGCGUAAUAGCUCACUGGUCGAGUCGGCCUGCGCGGAAGAUGUAACGGGGCUAAACCAUGCACCGAAGCUGCGGCAGCGACACUGUGUGUUGUUGGGUAGGGGAGCGUUCUGUAAGCCUGCGAAGGUGUGCUGUGAGGCAUGCUGGAGGUAUCAGAAGUGCGAAUGCUGACAUAAGUAACGAUAAAGCGGGUGAAAAGCCCGCUCGCCGGAAGACCAAGGGUUCCUGUCCAACGUUAAUCGGGGCAGGGUGAGUCGACCCCUAAGGCGAGGCCGAAAGGCGUAGUCGAUGGGAAACAGGUUAAUAUUCCUGUACUUGGUGUUACUGCGAAGGGGGGACGGAGAAGGCUAUGUCGGCCGGGCGACGGUUGUCCCGGUUUAAGCGUGUAGGCUGACUUUCCAGGCAAAUCCGGAAAGUUAAGGCUGAGGCGUGAUGACGAGGCACCACGGUGCUGAAGUGACAAAUGCCCUGCUUCCAGGAAAAGCCUCUAAGCAUCAGGUAACAUCAAAUCGUACCCCAAACCGACACAGGUGGUCAGGUAGAGAAUACCAAGGCGCUUGAGAGAACUCGGGUGAAGGAACUAGGCAAAAUGGUGCCGUAACUUCGGGAGAAGGCACGCUGACAUGUAGGUGAAGCCCCUGCGGGUGGAGCUGAAGUCAGUCGAAGAUACCAGCUGGCUGCAACUGUUUAUUAAAAACACAGCACUGUGCAAACACGAAAGUGGACGUAUACGGUGUGACGCCUGCCCGGUGCCGGAAGGUUAAUUGAUGGGGUUAUCGCAAGAGAAGCUCCUGAUCGAAGCCCCGGUAAACGGCGGCCGUAACUAUAACGGUCCUAAGGUAGCGAAAUUCCUUGUCGGGUAAGUUCCGACCUGCACGAAUGGCGUAAUGAUGGCCAGGCUGUCUCCACCCGAGACUCAGUGAAAUUGAACUCGCUGUGAAGAUGCAGUGUACCCGCGGCAAGACGGAAAGACCCCGUGAACCUUUACUACAGCUUGACACUGAACAUUGAGCCUUGAUGUGUAGGAUAGGUGGGAGGCUUUGAAGCGUGGACGCCAGUCUGCGUGGAGCCGACCUUGAAAUACCACCCUUUAAUGUUUGAUGUUCUAACCUGGCGCCGUGAUCCGGCGUGGGGACAGUGUCUGGUGGGUAGUUUGACUGGGGCGGUCUCCUCCCAAAGUGUAACGGAGGAGCACGAAGGUCAGCUAAUCCUGGUCGGACAUCAGGAGGUUAGUGCAAUGGCAUAAGCUGGCUUGACUGCGAGAGUGACGGCUCGAGCAGGUGCGAAAGCAGGUCAUAGUGAUCCGGUGGUUCUGUAUGGAAGGGCCAUCGCUCAACGGAUAAAAGGUACUCCGGGGAUAACAGGCUGAUACCGCCCAAGAGUUCAUAUCGACGGCGGUGUUUGGCACCUCGAUGUCGGCUCAUCACAUCCUGGGGCUGAAGUAGGUCCCAAGGGUAUGGCUGUUCGCCAUUUAAAGUGGUACGCGAGCUGGGUUUAGAACGUCGUGAGACAGUUCGGUCCCUAUCUGCCGUGGGCGCUGGAGAAUUGAGGGGGGCUGCUCCCAGUACGAGAGGACCGGAGUGGACGCAUCACUGGUGUUCGGGUUGUCAUGCCAAUGGCACUGCCCGGUAGCUAAAUGCGGAAGAGAUAAGUGCUGAAAGCAUCUAAGCACGAAACUUGCCCCGAGAUGAGUUCU